rnacentral:rRNA from 1 species
AACGAACGCUGGCGGCGCGCCUAAUACAUGCAAGUCGAGCGAGAAGACGUAGCAAUACGUUUGUAAAGCGGCGAACGGGUGAGGAAUACAUGGGUAACCUACCCUCGAGUGGGGAAUAACUAGCCGAAAGGUUAGCUAAUACCGCGUACGCUCCUUGGACUUCGGUUCAGGGAGGAAAGCGAUACCGUGGGUAUCGCGCUCUUGGAUGGGCUCAUGUCCUAUCAGCUUGUUGGUGAGGAACGGCUCACCAAGGCUUCGACGGGUAGCUGGUCUGAGAGGACGAUCAGCCACACUGGCACUGCGACACGGGCCAGACUCCUACGGGAGGCAGCAGUAAGGAAUAUUGCGCAAUGGGCGAAAGCCUGACGCAGCGACGCCGCGUGGGGGAGU